UAGAGACAUACAGCACGAAUAUUUCAGGUGGAUAUAUUAAUAAAUAUUUAAAUUUACAGCUAGGAAGAUCCUCAGAUGCAAUUUGGACCAGAUCCUUUGCAGCCACAGAUUCUCAAGGUCUUACUUCAUUCUCCAGGGAGUAAUUUUUUUCCAUAACUGUCCAAAAAUUUUGGAUUAAAAAAAAAAUCUUUAAACUCAUUAAUGUGCUUUGUUUACUGCCCCAACGCAUGCAAACUCUCCCAACAUCCGUUUGCUUAGUGGAAGUUGGUUUUGAGUGAACUGCGUGGCUCAGGUUCAAAUUCCAGUGAAGAAAUAUUUCCAAGUUGACUUGCAGAAUUUCCCAAACAGAGAAGUUCUUCCAUUUGGUUUGCCAGGAGAUUGGAAGCAGUGGUGAGCCCUGGAGACAAGGGAACGUUUACUGGCCCUUGUUCAUACCCUGCACAGUACAGCUCACAGCAGGCUGAAGGCGGUGCAGCGUGACCCGACCUGAUGUGCAGAAGUUCGCCCUGCAACUCCUCUGAGCUGCUCAACUCAAUGACGGGGCUAAUGGGAAAGGACUGACUCCACCACGCUGGAAGCUGUUGGAAGGGAAGGGAAAGAAUGAAUGCAGGCAAAAGGCAAGAGUGUUACAGAGCAUUUGAAAAUCACUGACACCUUCAUCUUGAGAGAAGCAGGCUUAAAUAUUUUCCAUCUUUGCACCCUCCCAAAGACGGCAUCACCCAUCUAGCCAUCCACCCACUCAUCCAACAUCGACCAUCAGCUCAUCACUGCCCUUGGUGCAGAAGACUGGUGAACAAGAUCCAUGAGCUCCAUUGAUGAACUUCAUAAAUUGGCUGUCCUCGCGCCUGGGCAAAAAGCUCUUGGUGCCCCGCUGUCUGAGAUCUGACAUCACGCCACCACGCUGGGCACCAUCCAGCCCAGCGACCCCUAGGUGCCCUGAGGUUUGAUGACUGCCAUGGGGAGACAGGGCGUCUGUGUUUACUGAUGACCUUGGACAGGCCAUCUAUCAUUGGAGACCUUUGCGACCCUCCGGGGAGAGCUGCCUGAUAGUGAAACAUCGGGAUGCCUGGAGCUAACAGGAGACAUUCUGGGAGAUUGCUAACCCUCUGGAGAAUGCAACCUCCCUGCACGUUGGCCUUCUUGACAGAACAGGAAAUACCACACUUGGGGUGAGCCGAACGCCCUGACCCCUUUCCCAAUCACUGCCGGGCUCUCUUCUCUGGUUUUCCUUCCCUUUUCUGCCAUAUCAUGUUCUGCCAUUGCCUGCCAAGCCCUUGUAUGUUUUGGCUGCUCCUUGGCCCUGAGCCUAUAAUCCUCUCCAACUUCUGACCCAGUUAAUUUACAAAAGCAAGAGCCCGAGUUCCAGCCAUUCAAAAAUCCAGAUUUCUUCCCCCCAGCUCUCAGGGAUGUAAUCAGCAGGACACAGUGCAUACAUGUAGCGGCUCCCUUUAAUGCUGGAGGAGGUGGCAACCUGCUGGCUAGAACCCUGUAAGCCUGGCCAGAGCAGCUGGGCCCAGGUCACAACCCUGUCCCCCUGAGUAGGGGACACUCAGACUUUGGGAUCUGUUGUCAGUUCUCUUUGUUGUUGCUUUUGGAGCUGGGUUGAACCCGGCUCCCGUGGCUGUCAAGCACAGCCCUGUCAGUCACAUGCUUAUCCAAACCCUUUCAGGAUGCUUUCUUAUUCUCUGCCACUGUAAUUCCUUGAGGGGAUAAAAUCCGUGUAUUAUUCCUGCUGUGUUGAAGUACGCCUUCAAUUAAAUUAUUCUAAUAUAACCUUGGUCACAUUUCGGGGUUGACCCUUAUUUUAGUGAGAGAGGCUCGGUGAGUGAAUCUGGGUCCCCUGCCUCUGCACCAUGCCUGUCUUUACAGGGGCCCACUUCAGCUGGAUGUUCAGUCAGCUCUGAGGCUUAUGACCUUAAACCCUCCUCCAACUACUGAAAACUCAUUUUGACAACUCGGGAUGGAACGGGGAGCUGGAAGCAAGGGGAGACACUGGAGUGUCCUCCGGCGCUCUGGACAAACCAGGCCACGGGACGGGGACCAGCAUGUCCUCAUCCACGAUCCCCAAAUCCAACAAGCUCUGCAAAGCAAAAGUUCUGGAAACUCACUUGGCAGCAAAACUGAUCCGAACUCACCUCAUUCAGCCGUAAAGCCUGACCUGGUGUGAGGCUAUCGACUGUUUCUCUUCAUUCAUACAUAUCGCUAUAUAAGUAAGAAUGUGUUUGAACACAGAGUGCAGCCCCAGACUCUCCUAGGGUGUUAUAUAAAUUAUGGUCUAAGCACUGUAUGGACUUUCUAAAAAAAAACAAAAACAAAGGAGUCAGACUCUGAGGCACAUCCAGUCCCAAGGGUUUUGGCUGGGACGCUCCGGCAUGAGGAGCCACCCCGAAAGGGUUAGGAAGAGGGCAUAAGCACGUAUUGGGACUGGCCUUCUCCAAAGCGUCUGCUUUGUAUUUCAGUACAGACCUUGGUUUCAUAAUACCAAUAUCUCAGAAGCCACAGGUGGAAGGUCUAAAACCUCGGAAGGUGUGACAGGCCCUUCUGGAGGUGGUACAACCCACCCCCAGAUGACUUCUAAUGCUUUAUUCUGGCACUGAGACCACCCAAAACCACACCACGGAGUUUAACUAAUCAUUCUCCUAUUGCUCCGUGGCCCUAUGUCAGUAAAUGUUGCAUGUCCUUGAAAAACAAACUACUCAAAUGCAAAGAUUGCAUGUAUAUUUUAGAAACUCUUGAUUCAGUCUCCACCAAUGGAAAGUUUAAUUGGCCACUUGGGUCAAGCCUGUUUUUCUAGUGCUCUGCCUGAGCCUGGGACACAGCAGACGCAGCAGCUUGACCCUCAGCAUGUAGCGUCUCCCGAGGCAGCCUGCUUCCCAGGCAGCUGUGAGCAGGGACGGAGCUGGCCCUUGGCCCACGUGGGACAGGGCACCAGCAGCCUCGCCGCCAGCUCCCGUGCACACUCUCCACCUCCUUUCUGCCUGCACCCUCUUCCUGCUUCUCCUCUUUCCCCUCUCACGCCUCUCCCCAGGCUCCCCGAGCAUGGGGAGCACACAAAACCGAUUCCACGCACCAGGCCAAAGAGAAACAUACCAACGUCAGCCUUGCUGGAAAAGUGGGAUAUAAGACAACGCACUUGGCUGACAAUGACAAUGUGAAUGGGGCUGGCUCUUUUCCAACCAACCAUAAGCCAGAAGUGGAUCUGGCACCUUCACGACGGGCCUCGGCAGCAGUAACCGCGCAACCAAGACAUGCCCACUCAGCAAGGCUUGGCAGGUGACUCGACUUCCCCUGGCCUCAGUUUCUCCACCUGUCAAGAGGAUACCUCCACAUUCACUGUGCUUUUAGCUCUUUGAAAAAAAAAAAUGUCUUCUAUGAACGGAAGGUGUUGGGCUUUAUAGCUCUCCGUUUGUGCAGCUUCCUAAUAUGGAUCUCCGAGGGGCCAUCUCUACACAAUAGAGGAUCUUCACUGUUACCCGUUCAGGUUUGCAUCUGGAUUGGACUAGGGCUUGCGAGAACCUGGAUUUUUGUGCCAUGUUUAUAAUGAAGCACUUUGACAGUGGGAACGAUGCUCAGGUUCCCAGAUAUCCAGCUUACUUUAGCAAACCGAGCUUUCCGUUGAAAUGAAAUUAGACUCUAUUGUGCAUAAGGGUUUCCGUCAGAGGCUCCCCCUGGCUUCUCUGCGUAAACCCUGGAAAAAGCCCUUCUUCUGUUUACUUGUCUGCUGAGCAUUUCUGGGAGUGCCGCGAGGGAGCAGGGAAUGGUGCUUGCUCAGCCCGAGAGCGUGCUAUCAGAUCGCCGUGUGCUCUAGUUAUCUUACCGGGCUACAACUGGGACGCUUCAAGUUAGGUUUUGGUUAUGAGAUCAAAGUACAGAUUUUGGGCAGAUAGGUGUUGCUCCACGAGUAUAGCUGAAAAUAAAGGAGUGACCUUGAGAAGGCAAAAUGAUGACUAGUUUUGUUUCUCUUUCCGCAUCUUAACCAGAUAAGCUCGGGACAGCUGUUUUUAUUAAGCCCACUCUGUUAAUAAAUACAGAAAUGACGGCUACUCAGGUGCCAUAACACACAAACGUUGUUUAAAGUUGAUAAUACAGUAUCACGAACAGCUCCUUUGUCCCAGAAACGUGAAAAAGGGACAGUGAGGGUAAGGGUGCCCACGGGGAAGGCCACGGAAACGCGCAGCGGUAGGUUAGAGCUGCCCUCUUCUCCUGCACUCUCCUCCCGCCCUCUCUCCUGCAUCUGCCACACUGGCCCAGAGAAACGUUGUGGGGGGAGGUGACAACACGACUCCAGGGCAUUUCAGGAAGGAUUCCCUCUGGAGGGAACACCAGGAGCUGAAAGAAAAAGCCUGCAGACUGUGGGUGGGGGCAGGGAGGACAAAGCACCCUCGGCUGAGAUUCGAAGAUUCACCCCACCUCCCAUUCUCCUGGCUGCAGAGUCCUAACUUCUUCCCACCCCAGGAGAAACCUGUUCUUGUCAUCAUGCUGGGCACAGUGGAUAUGAGAGUGCAGGAGACAAUGACGGGCUGCUGAACACAGAGGAAUUUAAGUCUACACUUCAGGCUCUGUCUGAGGCAUCUGAGUGGGACAGAGGGAGGACAAAGGUGGAGGCUUCUAAUUCUUUUAAGGAAAAUGCUAUACAUUCACUAUUUAUCUUCCUCUUCAAGUCAUUAUCAAGUGACUAGAUGCAUUCACGGAAGUCAGGCAGCUGUCAGUUGUUAAAAGAGUUGAAAGUGCUUCAAAUGGAUGAAUAAAUGUGAUACACGUAAGAGAAUGCUCCUGCUUUGUCAGAUCCUGCCGAAUUCCCGAAGCAGGUGUUCAGUUGAGAGCCAGGGCACUGAAUGGCCGGGACAUUCUGCCUAGAACGGUGCUGGGAUAUGGUGUUUGAACGGAUCACGGGGUCAGUUUCUCAGAGCAACUUUGAGGGCAGAGGCUACUUCGUGGCUGGGAAAAAAAAUGCUAUAUUUAUUUGUGGAGAUGAUGAAAUAGAGCUGAAAGGCUUUGCAGGCUAUGGGCAAAGUCUUGUUUUAAAAGCCUCAUAGGCAUAAUCUUUUCUCCCCCUGCCUAUAUCCAUCCAUGCAUGCAUCCAUGCAUUCACUUAGACUUCCUGAGAGUGUACUAUGGGGCAGACACUGUGCUGGGCAUGCGGAACACAGAAAAGGAGCCCCCUUCUCAGAGUUCAGAGCUACUGGGAAAUAGAGACACAAAAGACAAGGGUUUCAGCAGAGGUGUCCCCAGUGGCAUGGAAGCAAGCAGAAGGCGCAACCCAGGAAGAGACAUGGAGAAGGCUACACAAAGGAGGCGGUUUGGGCCGGGCUUUGAAGGAUUCGUAGGCAGGGAGU